UCGAUUAGUUUGAUUUGUAUAUCAUUUAAUAUCUGGUAUUAGUAGCUAGUAAUUAAUAUCUGGUAUUAGUAACUAUAUUAUCAUCAUCUACAUGCCCAUUCUUAGUUUUAUGCGUUACAGGCUGCUACAAAGAAGCUAACAUUGAGAAAUGUCAUAGACUGCAUUGCAGAUCUUAUCUGUAAAAGAGUUGAUGUUUAUUAUAACUAUCGGUAUAAAAGGAAAAGUGAUCCUUUUGUGCAUAUUUUGUUGUCUGGCUGAUGCAAUAUCAGUUUUUUCUUCAUUCUUGUUCAUGUAGGCUAUGACACCAGAAUUCAAGAAUUACCAGAAACAAGUUCUUAGUAACUCCUCGACAUUUGCACAGUUGAGAACCAUUAUAAGGAAUAGCUCUAAGGAGGCACUGGACCAAUAUGAUAGUCUCUCAGAAAAAGAAAGGGUGAGAGUUUGGUUAGUUUUCAAGAAAUUACUAUUUCGAGCUUCAUUGCGACUAUUAUAUUCCUAAAUUAGUAUGUGGAAGCAAUUUAACUCACCCUUGCAUUUCUAAAGAACCAUGCAUAAUUCUAGAGAUACACAUUUGGACGACACAAACUCUUCAUUUGUCUAGAAGUACAUUUUCAAAUUGCACAAACCUCCUUCCCAUUGAAAAGGCUAAUUUUUUUUUAAGCUAGACUUUGUGAGAUAGACAGAAGCUAAUAUGAUAUCCUACCUGAUCGACAGUCCAUCUACGACCCCCAGCAGCAAUGCCAUCCAUACCCACAAUUUCUAAAACUGUCCUCUCCAAGUCUUGUAAUCCUUCCUCGACCGGUUACAACACUUAUAAUCGGUUUGGAUUAUAGUGGAUUAAGUCCUCCAAGGUUUGAGGCAAACUCUCUCGGUAAGGGGAGGACGGGAGGUAGCUGCCAAGGUCGAAGUCAACCAGUAUAAAAAUCUCUGGUGUUGUUUUCUCUAUUCUUACCAUUUAGUUUACAUAUAUUAUAAUUUGAUCUUUUUUAAGAACACGAGAAAAAGAUUUUAAAUCCAUCACAACUCAAAUCCUCAUUUCUUGUGAUUUUCUCGCCUUUAGGUAAUAAACUAUUUAAGAAGGCAUUGCUUGAUCUGGGAUCAAGCAGCCAACAAAUACAAUAUUGCAGUUUACUGACGGAUCUUGCAAAAAAAAAAAAACAUGCGUGAAGCUGGAAGUUGUCCACAUCAAAGUGGGCAAAUUUGAGUUCUAGCACGAUCUAUUUGUGAUGGACAUUGAGGAUGGUGAUACGUCUCCUAUGAUGCUAACAAAGCCAUUUAUUCAGAAGUCCUAAAUAAUAAUGGAUAUUGGUGAUAAUUGGCUGACUAUAAAGGACCAAAAUGAGGAGGUCUGCUUCGAUUUGUUUGAAAAAGUUAGCAAAAUAUACACUUCCCAGAGACUCAAGGGAAGAGCAGUUAAAGCAUUCUCAUUGCCAUCUUGAUCAUAUAAGAAUCACGCGUCAAACUAAUGAUGUAAAACAACCGUGUAUUUUGAGAGACAGAAAACUGCACAAACAAGCACCUCAAGAACAUUUCAUCAGAGGUGUUCUUGAUGCUGAUCUUGCGGAACAUUAAGCUCAAAAGCCACACUUCUUCCACAAUUGAAUAUGGUACAUGUGACAGUAUAUUAUUACAAAGAACGAGACAGACAUCGCCCGAGUAAUUUCAAAUGAGAUUCGAGAUAUUGUGAUUUGAGAACCAAGUCCAAGGUCACAAGCCAAAAACCUUUGGCCUUUAAUUUGCCCAACUGAUCAUGAGGAUUUGUUGUGCAACACAAGUUCACUAUAUAGGAUUCACAGGGACAAACAUAUAUUUCACUGGAAAACGAAUGCAUAAACCUGGUGAUACAAAUAGUUGGAAUAUUGUGGAAGCCGAACAAGGGCUUUUGUUUCUUUACAUGAUUGUAUGUCCAAGUUGCUGUGCCCAACUAUUGAUGGGUUGCGUAACAACUCAAUAUCUUAUAUACAUCAUAUAUUUCCUUCUUAAUAUUUUUUUUAUCUGUAAAUAAUUUAAUUAAACUUGUAACACUCUUUGUUUUUAUUUAAAUGAU